CUGCAGCUGAGCUGGCCGCCCAUUCUUCCGUUCUUCACUGAGGCCUGUAUGUAACGGCUACAAACAGCAGCCUGUGUGGCAGCAUGUUUAACCUGCUACCUGUGUGGGUUUCCCUAAGGGAGCUUGGAGGCAAUU